rnacentral:rRNA from 1 species
AUUGAACGCUGGCGGCAUGCCUUACACAUGCAAGUCGAACGGCAGCACGGGUGCUUGCACCUGGUGGCGAGUGGCGAACGGGUGAGUAAUACAUCGGAACAUGUCCUGUAGUGGGGGAUAGCCCGGCGAAAGCCGGAUUAAUACCGCAUACGAUCCACGGAUGAAAGCGGGGGACCUUCGGGCCUCGCGCCAUAGGGUUGGCCGAUGGCUGAUUAGCUAGUUGGUGGGGUAAAGGCCUACCAAGGCGACGAUCAGUAGCUGGUCUGAGAGGACGACCAGCCACACUGGGACUGAGACACGGCCCAGACUCCUACGGGAGGCAGCAGUGGGGAAUUUUGGACAAUGGGCGAAAGCCUGAUCCAGCAAUGCCGCGUGUGUGAAGAAGGCCUUCGGGUUGUAAAGCACUUUUGUCCGGAAAGAAAUCCUUGACUCUAAUACAGUCGGGGGAUGACGGUACCGGAAGAAUAAGCACCGGCUAACUACGUG